GGGGGUAUAGCUCAGGGGUAGAGCAUUUGACUGCAGAUCAAGAAGUCCCCUAGUUCAAAUCUGGAUGCUCUCU
rnacentral:tRNA from 2 species